rnacentral:rRNA from 1 species
AUACGGAGGAUCCGAGCGUUAUCCGGAUUUAUUGGGUUUAAAGGGUGCGCAGGCGGCCAUUUAAGUCAGCGGUUAAAUCGUGGGGCUCAACCCCAUUCUGCCGUUGAUACUGGGUGGCUUGACUGCGGUCGAGGUUGGCGGAAUUCGUUGUGUAGCGGUGAAAUGCAUAGAUAUCACGAAGAACUCCGAUCGCGAAGGCAGCUCACCGGGCCGGAACUGACACUGAUGCUCGAAAGUGCGGGUAUCAAACAGGAUUAGAUACCCUGGUAGUCCGCACAGUAAACGAUGAAUACUCGCUGUUUGCGAUACACGGUAAGCGGCCAAGCGAAAGCGUUAAGUAUUCCGCCUGGGGAGUACGCCGGCAACGGUGAAACUCAAAGGAAUUGGCGGGG